AGACGGGGGGUGCUAGCGUUGUUCGGAAUUACUGGGCGUAAAGGGCGCGUAGGCGGCUCUGCGAGUCGGGCGUGAAAUCCCGGGGCUCAACCCCGGAACGGCGCUCGAUACUGCGGGGCUGGAGACCGGAAGAGGAGGGUGGAAUUCCCAGUGUAGAGGUGAAAUUCGUAGAUAUUGGGAGGAGCACCGGUGGCGAAAGCGGCUCUCUGGUCCGGUUCUGACGCUGAGGCGCGAAAGCGUGGGGAGCAAACAGGAUUAGAAACCCUAGUAGUCC
rnacentral:rRNA from 1 species